CGCUUCAGAUAUGAAUGUACGUUUUCCCCUUUUUGCUGCCCGGGUGCCCUUUCCUGUGUGAUCGUGAAUUACAUUCGUGUGCAAAGGGAACACUGCUGACACUUACAUAACAUAGGAGUACAAAGUAAAUAGGGAAAGGUUCAGCUAGCUGCCUGCAUCACGUGGUGGGAGGGAAGGAGGAGGGGCGGUGCAAGAGGGUGUUGUUGACAGCUGUGUCCACCAAAACAAAGCAAGGGAUCGAACCCACGACUGCCUGCUUGCAAGGCAGGCGCUUAUGCCGCUGUGCUAAAUCCCCAGCCAGCCUGCCCUCUUGAUAAACGCAUCUGGUGUGAGCCAGGAGGAAAACUAGUCAGCGGCUCCCGAGAUCUGGCCAUGGUGGAACUUAGGCAGCUGCACAAGAAAGCGAUUCGCCCGCUCUCUUGGUAAGUGCUCCUGGUACAAGCCAGGAAGAGAACCAGUCAGCGUCUCCCACGAGCCUACCAGUGUGCGGGCUGAGAAUCAAACAUCCCAGCCCCCUCCCCCUCUUAGCAACUGGGGUCAGAAGUCUGAGCAUCUCUUGGGAGGAUGACCAUAUUGCAACACAGCAAAUAUGGGGGUCUCCUUCUAUCUUCUGUUUGAAGGCAAAUGUUGUUUUCACUGUUUUGUUCUGAUUAAUUAUUUUGCUUUAUUCAAUAUUCUCUUUUGAUUGGUUUUAUAAUGUUCUAUUUUUGGUUUGGUUUUGCUAUACCUAAUUGACUGGACAACUAUUGUGAAGAUAACGAGAUAUACUAUGGUACCUAAUAUUGUUAUCCUGGUAUCUUGCUGUGAAGUUCUGUACCAGUUUCACUGCAUUGUCUUGAUUGGCUUUGUUCUGUCUGGUUCUGUUGUAUUUUUACUACCUUCAAAAUAAAAUUUAAAAAAUAA